GCAGGCUGCAACUCGCCUGCACGAAGUCGGAAUUGCUAGUAAUCAUAGGUCAGCACACUAUGGUGAAUACGUUCCCGGGCCUUGUACACACCGCCCGUCACACCAUGAGAGUUGAGAAUACCCGAAGUCCAUGUUAAAGUGGCCGAAGGUAGGCUUGAUGAUUGGGGUGAAGUCGUAACAAGGUACC
rnacentral:rRNA from 1 species